GCAGGUGGGUGUAGUUGGUAGCAUUCGCUCUUAAGUUGAGAGCCGCAAGAGGCCCAGGAGAUCCGGGUUCGACUCCCGGCACCGGCU
rnacentral:tRNA from 1 species